rnacentral:rRNA from 1 species
CUGGGUAGCUAUGUAGGGAAGGGAUAAACGCUGAAAGCAUCUAAGUGUGAAACCCACCUCAAGAUGAGAUUUCCCAUAACUUUAUGUUAGUAAGAGCCCUGAGAGAAGAUCAGGUAGAUAGGUUGGAAGUGGAAGUGUGGCGACACAUGUAGCGGACCAAUACUAAUCGCUCGAGGACUUAUCCAAA